CCUACGGGAGGCAGCAGUGGGGAAUUUUGGACAAUGGGCGAAAGCCUGAUCCAGCCAUUCCGCGUGCAGGAUGAAGGCCCUCGGGUUGUAAACUGCUUUUGUACAGAACGAAAAGGUUUCUACUAAUACUAGGAGCUCAUGACGGUACUGUAAGAAUAAGCACCGGCUAACUACGUGCCAGCAGCCGCGGUAAUACGUAGGGUGCAAGCGUUAAUCGGAAUUACUGGGCGUAAAGCGUGCGCAGGCGGUUAUAUAAGUCAGAUGUGAAAUCCCCGGGCUCAACCUGGGAACUGCAUUUGAGACUGUAUAGCUAGAGUACGGUAGAGGGGGAUGGAAUUCCGCGUGUAGCAGUGAAAUGCGUAGAUAUGCGGAGGAACACCGAUGGCGAAGGCAAUCCCCUGGACCUGUACUGACGCUCAUGCACGAAAGCGUGGGGAGCAAACAGGAUUAGAUACCCUGGUAGUCCACGCCCUAAACGAUGUCAACUGGUUGUUGGGUCUUAACUGACUCAGUAACGAAGCUAACGCGUGAAGUUGACCACCUGGGGAGUACGGCCGCAAGGUUGAAACGUUAAAGAGUUAGUACGGACGUGAGACGUAGCCGAACGGACGACGACGACGGGAGGAGGAGG
rnacentral:rRNA from 1 species